AUUGAACGCUGGCGGCAGGCCUAACACAUGCAAGUCGAACGAGUGGCGGACGGGUGCGUAAUGUCUGGGAAACUGCCUGAUGGCGGGGGAUAACUACUGGCAACGGUAGCUAAUACCGCAUACCAUCGGAUGUGCCCAGAUGGGAUUAGCUUGUAGGUGGGGUAACGGCUCACCUAGGCGACUAUCCCUAGCUGGUCUGAGAGGAUGACCAGCCACACUGGAACUGAGACACGGUCCAGACUCCUACGGGAGGCAGGAGUGGGGAAUAGUGCACAAUGGGAGCAAGCCUGAUGCAGCCAUGCCGCGUGUAUGAAGAAGGCCUUCGGGUUGUAAAGUACUUUCAGCGGGGAGGCGUUACCCGCAGAAGAAGCACCGGCUAACUCCGUGCCAGCAGCCGCGGUAAUAC
rnacentral:rRNA from 1 species